UUACGGCCACAUCACAUUGAAGCACUGGUUCCCAUAUGACCACAGAAGUUAAGCACUGUCGAGCGUGGUCAGUACCUAGUGAGUGACUGCUUGGCAGUACCAGGUCCUGUAAG